CCUACGGGAGGCAGCAGUGAGGAAUAUUGGUCAAUGGACGAGAGUCCGAACCAGCCAAGUAGCGUGAAGGAUGACUGCCCUAUGGGUUGUAAACUUCUUUUAUAUGGGAAUAAAAUGUUCCACGUGUGGGAUUUUGUAUGUACCAUAUGAAUACGGAUCGGCUAACUCCGUGCCAGCAGCCGCGGUAAUACGGAGGAUCCGAGCGUUAUCCGGAUUUAUUGGGUUUAAAGGGAGCGUAGGUGGAUUGUUAAGUCAGUUGUGAAAGUUUGCGGCUCAACCGUAAAAUUGCAGUUGAAACUGGCAGUCUUGAGUGCAGUAGAGGUAGGCGGAAUUCGUGGUGUAGCGGUGAAAUGCUUAGAUAUCACGAAGAACUCCGAUUGCGAAGGCAGCUCACUGGACUGCAACUGACACUGAGGCUCGAAAGUGUGGGUAGCAAACAGGAUUAGAUACCCCAGUAGUC
rnacentral:rRNA from 1 species